rnacentral:rRNA from 1 species
CGCCGCGGUAAUACAUAGGGGGCAAGCGUUAUCCGGAAUUAUUGGGCGUAAAGGGUGCGUAGGCGGGAUGUUAAGUUUAAGGUAUAAGCUCAUGGCUCAACCAUGGGAGGCUUUAGAAACUGGCAUUCUUGAGUAAGGUAGAGGCAAGUGGAAUUCCAUGUGUAGCGGUAAAAUGCGUAAAUAUAUGGAGGAACACCGGUGGCGAAGGCGGCUUGCUGGGCCUUAACUGACGCUGAGGCACGAAAGCGUGGGGAGCAAACAGGAUUAGAUACCCUGGUAGUCCACGCCGUAAACGAUGAGUACUAAGUGCUGGGGAACUCAGUGCUGAAGCAAACGUAGUAAGUACUCCGCCUGAGUAGUACGUGCGCAAGCAUGAAACUCAAAGGAAUUGACGGGACCCCGCACAAGCGGUGGAUCAUGUUGUUUAAUUCGAGGAUACGCGAAGAACCUUACCAGGCCUUGACAUACCAUGCGAAGUUAUGGAGACAUAAUGGAGGCUAACGUGGAUACAGGAGGUGCAUGGCC